UCCUAAAAAAAAAAUGGAAAGAUUAAACCCAGCGAACUCAAGAGGUUCCAGAGUUUGCACGAUGGAAACUACCUAUCCAACACUAGCGGUUGCAGCGUUGCACGAUGGAAACUGUACCCUACUACGAGACGUUCGGAAGGCUUCAACCGGUUACUCAGUCCAACUGUUCAUACAAAAGGGAGAAACGAAUUCAACUGCAUAGAUCCCUCUAUCAAAUCAUGUUUUUUUUUUGGCCUUCUUCUUCAUCCACCUUUCAAUUUGAUGCUUCUGGGGAAAUGAUGAAUUAGGAUCAACAAAGUAAUACAAUUUGCAGAUUCGUGAAAAGGAUUGGGACUACAAAGUGGAAGCUCUGAAAAAUUUCGCUCUGAAAUUGGAGCUCUCUCGUCAAUGAUUCAAGCGGAUUUUGGAGUUCAUACGAACUGGUGAUAAAUCUCUGGCGGAAGUGAUGGACAUUACGAAACAACUGCUGGGAAAGUAGUGGUGUGAACUGUGAAGGAUUUUGGUAAUGGGUUUUGAGAUUUUGGUAAUGGGUUUUGAAAAGGAAAUGUUUAUAUCUAAUGUAUUUUCUGUUCCUUUAUACAUGAGGAUUUCUUUAUUGAUUUUUGAAUGUUAGCGGCAGUUCCUCUUAAAGUUGAUGAAAGAAAACUUGGUGGCACAUAAUAGCCAGAUACGUGAACAUGAUUGGGACUACAAAGUGGAAGCCCUGAAAAAUUCCGUUUUGAAAUCGGGGCUCUCGCCAGUUAUUUGAUCGGACCCAUUUGUCGAGGCUCGAAGAAAAAGGAAAGGGGGGAAAGUGUAUUCUUGCCAUAGAUUUUCUGUUGGCAGUGAGCCUUGAAGAAAAGGGAAGGUGAUAACAGCGGAAGAGAAGGAUACAUGUAGAUGUAGCAACUGUUUUGUAAGAGCCAAAGAAACUGUACAUGGGCUGGGGUUAGCAGUUGCUAUUUCAUCCCACUGAUGGAGACGCUAUUGAUAUUGAGUAAUCUUCGAAGAAAGGCACCUCUUCAGAGAAGUACUCUGGCAGCAUUCGUUGAGCUCUUUCCAAGGACUCCGAAUUCCGACUCUGCUGCUGCGCACUGAAGCAUCAUACUUUUCUUCAUAUGUUGGAUAUUUUAUUUUUUUGGUAGGUCUCGGGUUCGAGACUUGGGAGCAGCCUCUUCAUAAAUGGGGGUAAGGCUAGACGACAUUCACCUCUCUCAGACUCUGCGUAAAGCGGGAGUCUUGUGCACUGGGUACGACCUUUUUUACUGUUAUUAGUAUGAAUUAUGUUUGAUAGGAGGCUGGUUCAGUGGCAGUUACUAAAUUUGUGUGCAAUUGGUUUUUAUUCAGCCUCUGUCACUACAUUUUGCAAUUUGCAAAUUUUGGGUAAUUUUUUAUGUAGAUCGAUGGGUUGUGUUGUAUGUGAUUAUAGCUCUGAUUUCAGAGUUGGGAAUUUGAUAUAUAUUUGAUGUGCGAAUGGUGAUAAGGGUAUGUCCUUAUUGUUAUGUGUCUUUUUGGGGUUUUUUCUUUUCAUUUGUUGUAAUUUAAUGACGAAAUUCGAUUGAGACGAAAAAAAAACAUUUUGUAUUCUCAUUUGUUGAUCCAUAUAUCGUAUGACUUUAUUUUUUGUAUG